UUGAGUAGCACAAACAUUGGUAAGAAUUCAAUGCCCUAAAAAUCUAAGGGUUCCUCCGCAAGGUUUGUCCAUGAAGGGUGAGUCAGGGCCUACAAUCAUGCCGAAAGGCAUAGUUGAUGGACAACAGGUGAAUAUUCCUAUACUACCCCUUAUUGAUCUUGAGGAUCGGAGGAGGCUAGGUUAGCCGAAAGAUGCUUAUCGGUUCAAGAGCAUAAGGUGUCCCUACCUUUUUUUAGGGUAAGAAGGGGUAGAGAAAAUGCCCUGAGCCAAUGUUCGAAUACCAGGAGCUAUGACGCAGAAGUAAACUAUGCCAUACUCUCAUGAAAAGGUUGAACGAUUUUGGACAAGAGGGUACCUGUACCCAAAAUCGACACAGAUGGACAGGUAGAGAAGACUUAGGGGCGCGAGACAACUCUCUCUAAGGAACUCGAAAAAAUAUCCCCGUAACUUCGGGAGAAGGGGUGCCUCCUCACAAAGAGAGUUGCAGUGACCAGGCUCGGACAACUGUUUACUAAAAGCACAGGUCUCCACAAAGUCGUAAGACCAUGUAUGGGGGAUGACGCCUUUCUAAUGCCAGAAAUUCAAGGAAGUUGGUGACCUGAUAAUAGGGAAGUCGACGAUUAAAGCCCCGGUGAACAACAGUCGUAACUAUAAUGAUCCUAAGGUAGCAAAAUUUCUUAUCGGGUAAGUUUUGACCAAUAUAAAAGGCGUAACAAUUUGGGCACUCUCUCAAAGAGAGGCUCAGUAAAAUA
rnacentral:ncRNA from 1 species